rnacentral:hammerhead_ribozyme from 1 species
AUCCAGUUGACGAGUCCAAAACAGGACGAAACGCGCGUCCUGGAU